GAAUUCGCCCUUAGAGUUUGAUCCUGGCUCAGGACGAACGCUGGCGGCGCGCCUAACACAUGCAAGUCGAACGGAGCUUAGAGAGCUUGCUUUUUAAGCUUAGUGGCGAACGGGUGAGUAACGCGUGAGUAACCUGCCCUAGAGUGGGGGACAACAGUUGGAAACGACUGCUAAUACCGCAUAAGCCCACGGUGCCGCAUGACACUGAGGGAAAAGGAUUUAUUCGCUUUAGGAUGGACUCGCGUCCAAUUAGCUAGUUGGUGAGGUAACGGCCCACCAAGGCGACGAUUGGUAGCCGGACUGAGAGGUUGAACGGCCACAUUGGGACUGAGACACGGCCCAGACUCCUACGGGAGGCAGCAGUGGGGGAUAUUGCACAAUGGGGGAAACCCUGAUGCAGCGACGCCGCGUGGAGGAAGAAGGUUUUCGGAUUGUAAACUCCUGUCGUUAGGGACGAUAAUGACGGUACCUAACAAGAAAGCACCGGCUAACUACGUGCCAGCAGCCGCGGUAAAACGUAGGGUGCAAGCGUUGUCCGGAAUUACUGGGUGUAAAGGGAGCGCAGGCGGGAAGACAAGUUGGAAGUGAAAACCAUGGGCUCAACCCAUGAAUUGCUUUCAAAACUGUUUUUCUUGAGUAGUGCAGAGGUAGAUGGAAUUCCCGGUGUAGCGGUGGAAUGCGUAGAUAUCGGGAGGAACACCAGUGGCGAAGGCGGUCUACUGGGCACCAACUGACGCUGAGGCUCGAAAGCAUGGGUAGCAAACAGGAUUAGAUACCCUGGUAGUCCAUGCCGUAAACGAUGAUUACUAGGUGUUGGGGGAUUGACCCCCUCAGUGCCGCAGUUAACACAAUAAGUAAUCCACCUGGGGAGUACGACCGCAAGGUUGAAACUCAAAGGAAUUGACGGGGGCCCGCACAAGCAGUGGAGUAUGUGGUUUAAUUCGAAGCAACGUGAAGAACCUUACCAGGUCUUGACAUCCGAUGCAUAGCACAGAGAUGUGUGAAAUCCUUCGGGACAUCGAGACAGGUGGUGCAUGGUUGUCGUCAGCUCGUGUCGUGAGAUGUUGGGUUAAGUCCCGCAACGAGCGCAACCCUUAUUGCCAGUUACUACGUUAAGAGGACUCUGGCGAGACUGCCGUUGACAAAACGGAGGAAGGUGGGGAUGACGUCAAAUCAUCAUGCCCCUUAUGGCCUGGGCUACACACGUACUACAAUGGCGUCUACAAAGAGCGGCAAGCCUGUGAAGGCAAGCGAAUCUCAUAAAGGACGUCUCAGUUCGGAUUGAAGUCUGCAACCCGACUUCAUGAAGCUGGAAUCGCUAGUAAUCGCGAAUCAGCAUGUCGCGGUGAAUACGUUCUCGGGCCUUGCACUCACAAGCCGUCA
rnacentral:rRNA from 1 species